ACUUAAUUAAUUUCUUUUAUUUUUAAAAGAAUAAAGAUCAAAAACUAAAAACUUAUUCUGAGCACCCACGCUUUUCUUUCUCUCCAAACUUCUUUCAAAAUUCUUCAUUGUCAUAGUUCAAUCCUCUUCCACUUCUCGCUUUUAGAGUUUUCAAUUUCUUCGAUGGCACCCGAUCCUAAUCGCUCUGGUAUGAGCACUGCCAAAGACGAUGUCGUUACGAAGAAGAAGGUCGAGAACGAAGAUAUGUUUGAUCAGGAUUUGGCAUUGAAGCAGCGGCUAGAGUUGUACGUGGAGAGGGUUUAGGAUCCCAACUAAGGAUUGCAGAGGUUGCGUUGGAGAGCAUGAGGUAAACCUAGUUGUAUUGGAACCGACGACCAAGGAUUUGGCCAUGCAAUUAAUGGUUUCCCUUUUGGGCUCAAUAGUAGCUAAUUUUGUAGUUCUAGGGAUGACAAUAAUGUCAACAUAGUAAGAUCCACAAACUCUUCUCCGACAACACUAUCAAAUUAUGGAUAUUCUAAAAGAGAGCAUGUGAAGAUAGAAGAAGACGAAAAAGUUGGAAUUCCAAGGGAAGGUGAUCUAGGAGCAUCACUAGAGGAUGAAGAGGUGGUUGCUGUGCAAGAGCAAGUAAGGUAGAUAAAGGCACAGGAAGAGGAAUUUGAAACCUUCAAUCUAAAGAUUGUGCACAGGAAAAACAGACAUGUUUUUAAUGUGUGUAACAAUGUGUUUAUAUGCUGAUCUGUGCUAUGUAAUCCUAAUCAUGGUACUUACAAGUAUUGUAUUACUUCAAUUUACAGAUGACUUGAAAUUAUUUUAUGUUUUUUUUUAAACUAUACUUCGAUAUACACUUUGUGUAUCCUUCAAUUUUGUUUCAAGUUUUUAUAUGAGAAACAACUUCUUUUAGCUUAA